CCUCCUGUUGCCUUGGUUACAGUGAGUGGAGGGGUUUGGGUCACUGAUUAUCCUUGAGCACCUGGAUUGUUUAAAUUAUCUGCUGGAGAGCCCUUGCCUUCCCCGUGCUGGAUGGGAGACACAACCGGUCCUGUAAGAUCUCAGGGGUUUAAGAGGAAAUCCUGGAAGUGACAAGUAAAAAAUCUGGAUGGAUGGAGAUGAUGACCCUCCAAUUCAGUGUAAGAGCAGACACAUCACUUCCCAGGAAGGCCUGUGGCAGGUCCUGCCCCGUUCCGGAUGGAGAGACUGGAGAGAACAAACUGAAGGUUGGAGAGCUGGGCUACAGAGGAAGACGUCUCAAUUAGAAAGAGAAAGAAUUGAAAGCAGCACCGAUAGGGAAGGGUAAUUAUCCCCCAGCUGCUGCAGAAAUAAAAUCAGGGCGGUGCUCUCUGAGCCACCAGGAUAUUGUGGCUUUUGCCAAUUAAAAAGCAGAUACGCCCUGCCAGUGCAAUUAGAGUCUG